GACGGGGCCCGGCGACAAGCGGUGGAGUAUGUGGUUAAUUCGAUGCAACGCGAAGAACUUACCUGGUCUUGACAUCCCGGAGACCCUUAGGAACUAGGGGUGCUUCCAUCUGGAAGAAUCUGGAGACAGGUGCUGCAUGGCUGUCGUCAGCUCGUGUCGUGAGAUGUUGGGUUAAGUCCCGCAACGAGCGCAACCCUUGCCUUUAGUUGCCAGCAGUUCGGCUGGGCACUCUAAAGGGACUGCCGGUGUUAAACCGGAGGAAGGUGGGGAUGACGUCAAGUCCUCAUGGCCUUUAUGACCAGGGCUACACACGUACUACAAUGGCCGAUACAAAGGGCAGCGACACUGCGAGGUGAAGCCAAUCCCGUAAAAUCGGUCUCAGUCCGGAUUGGAGUCUGCAACUCGACUCCAUGAAGUUGGAAUCGCUAGUAAUCGUGGAUCAGCAUGCCACGGUGAAUACGUUCCCGGGCCUU
rnacentral:rRNA from 1 species